UUAGAUAAUUGUGUUGAGUGGUUGUCAAAAGUUUUCCUAUUUUUCCAUGAAAAUUACCGAUGAAUUCAUAGGUAAAUUCAAGUUCGUUUCUGUGCAAAUUGUUUGUGAUGUGGUUUAUUCCGUAUGUGUGCUGGAUUAAAUUCAAAAUUCCUCAAUCUAACCUGUAGGAAGGAACUGGAAAGGAAACAGUAGCAUACAAGUUGCCUACCAUCACUAACAUCAACUCUUUUAUUAUAAAUCUUCGUUCUGCUGAAUGCAUCAUGCAGUUAAUACAGCAUUUUCUAUUGAUCUUGGUAGGUCACUACCCCAGUGUGGACAUGUUUGUUUUUCAACAAAUAAUACAUUGACAUACAAGGAAAACUAUGAAAAAUAUCAUAUCAUCUUGGCCAAUCUUCAGGUUUAUUGCAGCAGCUUAAGAGAAGAAUAUGAACAAAUGCAGGGCAAAUACCAACAUGUGUUGUAUUUUUCUGAAUGUUAAACACAAGCAGUAGAUUCAACAUGACUAACUGUUUGAUGCCAAAGUUAGUUGGAACUCAACUCACUGUAUGUACUCUAACACAGAUAACUGGUGCUGUUGCCUUUCAGCCACAGGCAGGAAAAUCAUUCUUUUCUUCAGAAAAUUGUAAGUUUAAUUUUUUGUCUUGACCCACCCAACACUUUCUGUUAAUAUUAUAGAUUUUUAUGUUGAAAGAGUUACAAAGUGUGAAAAGCUAACUAAAAACUUUGUG
rnacentral:lncRNA from 1 species